rnacentral:rRNA from 1 species
AGAGUUUGAUCAUGGCUCAGAUUGAACGCUGGCGGCAGGCCUAACACAUGCAAGUCGAGCGGUAGAGAGAAGCUUGCUUCUCUUGAGAGCGGCGGACGGGUGAGUAAUGCCUAGGAAUCUGCCUGGUAGUGGGGGAUAACGUUCGGAAACGGACGCUAAUACCGCAUACGUCCUACGGGAGAAAGCAGGGGACCUUCGGGCCUUGCGCUAUCAGAUGAGCCUAGGUCGGAUUAGCUAGUUGGUGAGGUAAUGGCUCACCAAGGCGACGAUCCGUAACUGGUCUGAGAGGAUGAUCAGUCACACUGGAACUGAGACACGGUCCAGACUCCUACGGGAGGCAGCAGUGGGGAAUAUUGGACAAUGGGCGAAAGCCUGAUCCAGCCAUGCCGCGUGUGUGAAGAAGGUCUUCGGAUUGUAAAGCACUUUAAGUUGGGAGGAAGGGUUGUAGAUUAAUACUCUGCAAUUUUGACGUUACCGACAGAAUAAGCACCGGCUAACUCUGUGCCAGCAGCCGCGGUAAUACAGAGGGUGCAAGCGUUAAUCGGAAUUACUGGGCGUAAAGCGCACGUAGGUGGUUUGUUAAGUUGGAUGUGAAAUCCCCGGGCUCAACCUGGGAACUGCAUUCAAAACUGACUGACUAGAGUAUGGUAGAGGGUGGUGGAAUUUCCUGUGUAGCGGUGAAAUGCGUAGAUAUAGGAAGGAACACCAGUGGCGAAGGCGACCACCUGGACUAAUACUGACACUGAGGUGCGAAAGCGUGGGGAGCAAACAGGAUUAGGUACCCUGGUAGUCCACGCCGUAAACGAUGUCAACUAGCCGUUGGAAGCCUUGAGCUUUUAGUGGCGCAGCUAACGCAUUAAGUUGACCGCCUGGGGAGUACGGCCGCAAGGUUAAAACUCAAAUGAAUUGACGGGGGCCCGCACAAGCGGUGGAGCAUGUGGUUUAAUUCGAAGCAACGCGAAGAACCUUACCAGGCCUUGACAUCCAAUGAACUUUCUAGAGAUAGAUUGGUGCCUUCGGGAACAUUGAGACAGGUGCUGCAUGGCUGUCGUCAGCUCGUGUCGUGAGAUGUUGGGUUAAGUCCCGUAACGAGCGCAACCCUUGUCCUUAGUUACCAGCACGUUAUGGUGGGCACUCUAAGGAGACUGCCGGUGACAAACCGGAGGAAGGUGGGGAUGACGUCAAGUCAUCAUGGCCCUUACGGCCUGGGCUACACACGUGCUACAAUGGUCGGUACAGAGGGUUGCCAAGCCGCGAGGUGGAGCUAAUCCCAUAAAACCGAUCGUAGUCCGGAUCGCAGUCUGCAACUCGACUGCGUGAAGUCGGAAUCGCUAGUAAUCGCGAAUCAGAAUGUCGCGGUGAAUACGUUCCCGGGCCUUGUACACACCGCCCGUCACACCAUGGGAGUGGGUUGCACCAGAAGUAGCUAGUCUAACCUUCGGGAGGACGGUUACCACGGUGUGAUUCAUGACUGGGGUGAAGUCGUAACAAGGUAACC